rnacentral:lncRNA from 1 species
AGUUUGUAGGUGCAGCUGGCCCAGAGAAGUCAACAUUCCUGUUGCCAGAAGGUGGAUUUGUCAUAAAACCCACAGGGACCCUUGGAGAAGCCAUGCCUUCACCAGGAACUGAAGCUGAUCAGAGAGUAUGGGCUCUGAAACAAAUGUGAGGUGUGGCAGGUCAAUUUUACCCUGGCCAAGAUCCUCAAGGCCACCUUGGAGCUGUUUACACUGGAUCCAAAGGACCCACGUAGUGGUUUUGAAGGCAAUGCUCUACUGGGGCAACUUGUUUGCAUUGGGUGCUGAAUGAGGGCAAGAUGGAGCUGGAUUACAUCCUUGGCCUGAAGACUGAGGGUUUCCUGGAGAGGCAGCUACAGUCCUAGAUCUUUUACCUUUGAUGAGUAUGAAGUGUCCCUCCUUGUCUUUUUUGAAGUCCUAGAUCUUUAAACAGCGUCUGCAAGCAGAUGGUGAGCAUCCUGCCCUUCGUUGUUAUCCCUUGGGACUCCCAGAAGUACAGUGUCUUCUCCCUCUCUUCACCUUAUGGUGGUGGCUACCCAGACAGUGUGAAGAAGAAGGAUGCCAAGAAGGUGCUAGAGCCAGUGAUGGGGAGGAUGAGGA